rnacentral:ncRNA from 1 species
CUGAAAAUUUUUGCACAUACCCGAGAGUAUUUUUGACAUUUUUUGUCAAAAUUUCAGACUGAUUGGAGCAUUCCCCGAAAUUUCGCUGAAUUUUUUUUUGCAUAUUUUGCUGGUUUCGUGAAUAAACCCAUAAGUGUCCAAUCCCGCGAGGAAAAACAGACCUGAAGAGCCGCCCACGUCCAUUUUCUUCAAAUUCCGCGCCUCCAUGAUUGUGAGAGUCACGGUGCCGGUCGCCGGACGGUAUCGAGUGGAAAAGCAAAUGUCGCCGAGACGGCAUUCUUUCUGAAACUUUGUUUUUUCGGCUCUGCCAAGGAUAAAAUAGUUGCACGGUGUCCACGUUCCACUGGAUUUUUCGCACGAAAUUCAAAUUUUGAGGCGUUUUUUCAUGUUUUUUCGGGAAAAAAGACAUAAAUUUUGUAUUUUUCGCAAACGUGCUCCGACUAAAUUAUAGCUGGGGUGAAAUUCGUGGACCGUAGUGAGACGCCCAAGAGCGAAAGCAUUUGCCAAGAAUAUCUUCAUUAAUCAAGAACGAAAGUCAGAGGUUCGAAGGUGAUUAGAUACCGCCCUAGUUCGGACCGUAAACGAUGCCAUCUCGCCGGAAGCCUUUAAAAAUUUUGUUAAGCCUAAGAACGUCGAAUUUCGUUCAGCCACCAUUUCGGAAUAAUCGUUUUUAGCAUUGCGGAGCUGAAAAAGUGAGUUUUUGGUGUUUUUGCAGGAUAAAUC